rnacentral:lncRNA from 1 species
UAUAUAUAUAUAUAUAUAUAUAUAAUGGAUACACAAACCACAACCUCAGCAAAGCCAUAAUAAAUAGAAAAGAGCAAAGCUGAAGGUAGUGUACAGAGAGAGCUUGGAGGGCAAAUGGCAUCUAACUCUGCAUUAGUCCUCUGUUUCUUCUUGGCUGCUGCUGCUGCCUAUCUAGUUUCCGCCACUUCUGAGGUCUUCUUUUUAAUUACUUAUUAUUUAUGCCCUUUUCUGGUCAUCUAUAUUUAACACAUUUAUCUAACUGCUGUUCUUUUGUUAUUCUAUAUACAUAGGAGGCGGCAGCUGAAAUUUACCAGUAUUAUGCUCACCCUCCAUCUGGACAUUAUGACAAUGCUCCUCCAUCCAUGCCUCCUACUCCUACUCCAUCAUAUGCUCCCCAUCAACAUCAUCAUCAUCGUCACCAUCAUCAUCAUCAUCGCCGCCACCACCACCAGGCCCCAGAGGAGGCACCCGCUCCCGACCACCACCAUGCUCCUGCUCACAAGUACCGCCGCCACCAGCACCACCAUGCUCCGGCUCCUUCCCCUAGCAAUUAUGUCCUCUUUUAAGAAAAUCAUGUCAUUGGUUGACCAUUACUCUUUCUUCUAUUUACAACCAGCAUGCCUAAACAUAAUAUAGUAAUUACCCAGUUCUUACACAUUAUUGGACUGGAUUAGGGUAGAUACUGUUGGUUUCUAUAUAUUUAUGUUCGGUACUCUCUGGAAGGCUUUGUGUUACUAGUAGUACUACUAGUUUAUUAAUAAAUAAAUAAAUAAAAUGAUUUUUAUAUAAUUGUCGUCAUCAUGUUAAUUGGGGUUAUUCGCCGCCCCUAUCAAUUUUUUUUAAAACGCACUAAUAAUUAUAAAUGGUACAAUUG